UGCUCGGGAUUGGGGUAGUGCUUU
rnacentral:misc_RNA from 1 species